UCUAUGACAUGGCUCUGAGGCCAGGGCCAGUGAGGACUGUGGGGGCCGCCGGAGUGCUGGGCGGAUCACUUGCACACAAAGGGCUCCAUGGACCCGCCUCCGCUGCCCUGGCCGAGCCUCACACACAAUGGAAGGACCUUUCGAGGCCGCACCGAGCCUGCCCCCUCUCUCAGCCAGAGGCACCCAGAAAUGCCGCUGAGUUCAGUCCCAGAGCAGGCCGCCUCCCUGCUCAGAAGAGCCCCUGCCAAGAGGCGGGGAGGACAGAGAAGAGAAAAGCAGGGAACUCCUACACAGCCUUCAAAACUCAAAUAUUUUCUCCUGGAAGCCCCAAAGUUAAUUGUCCCCUCCUCUGUACUCCCAGAGGCUUGGUACAUAUCCAUAUCAGCAGGCGUCAUUGAACUCUGA